GAACGGUGGGGUCAGGUGUUCUGGUGGGGUGUCCUAGACUUCUAGCUCGUGCCCUGAAUGGCAGUUUGCGUCGAUCACAAAGUGAAAGCUAUCUCUCGUCAUUUCGGUUGCUGUGGUUAGAGCUGCGAACGCCAGUUUUGUCACGAAUGCAACGGAAUACACAUGGCCUCUGCGAUUUGUUCCAACAUCGUGCCUGCUGCCAGUCGCCAAGGCCAUGUGUGACAUCACUUAGACUUGCUCUUCACUCGAGCCGGCAUGCAGCACAGGCUGGAGCGCCUCCAGCUAGUAAACCAGAACCCCAACACGAAGGAAAUCGUUGCAGCCAUAACACGAGCCCGGGCUCUGCGCAUGCAAGUACGCUGAAACGAACCCCGAUGCGAAUGCCAAGCCGCAAGAUGAGUCGGCAGAAGACGAAGACGGCGGAUUCCUGGCGCUGUUUCCAACUUUGAUCAUGCCGAUAUCAAGGAGGUUCUUCCCGAGGCUGGCUUUGACGAAAGAAGAGGCUCAGAACCUCGUGAAGUACGACUACCUUCUUCUGCAUCACCACAACGAAACGAACUGACAACGCAGCCCGCGCCUGCAGAGGUCGACGAUUACGAAGUCAGAGAUGCUAACACAGUGCCCGAUACCAGCUGGGAGCAACAGCAAAAGGACAGCAGCAUCGAAAAUCCUUUU